rnacentral:miRNA from 1 species
UUAGGCCUUGCUUCAUUUCAAAU